rnacentral:tRNA from 1 species
GAAAGAGUGGCUGAAGUUUAGGCGGUAGAUUGUAAAUCUACAUAUGAAGGUUAGUCCUUCUUUUUUCA